rnacentral:tRNA from 1 species
GGAUUGUGGCUCAGUGGCAGAGUGCUUGCCUCGCAUGUAUGAGGAGGCACUGGGUUCCAUCCUCAGCACCA